rnacentral:rRNA from 1 species
UACCAGCACCCCGAGUGGUCGGGACGAUUAUUGGGCCUAAAGCAUCCGUAGCCGGUUCUACAAGUCUUCCGUUAAAUCCACCUUCUUAACAGAUGGGCUGCGGAGGAUACUAUAGAGCUAGGAGGCGGGAGAGACAAGCGGUACUUAGUGGGUAGGGGUAAAAUCCGUUGAUCCAUUGAAGACCACCAGUGGCGAAGGCGGCUUGCCAGAACGCACUCGACGGUGAGGGAUGAAAGCUGGGGGAGCAAACCGG